rnacentral:misc_RNA from 1 species
GUUUCCAUAGUGGGGAUGGGAGGAAUCGGUAAAACCACCCUUGCCAAGCUGGUAUAUAAUCGGUUUGAUGUCAAGCGACACUUCGAUUGUUUGUCUUGGGCUUUCAUAUCUCAACAAUUCUCCCCAGGAGAUGUUUUUUCGGGAAUCCUGAGAGAAGUUGGAGCUAAAUGGGAGAAUAUGGGAAGCAUGAAAGAGGAAGAUUUGAUCAGAACACUCAAAGAUGUAUUGAAGGAGAAGCGAUACUUGGUGGUCCUUGAUGAUAUUUGGAAAGAAGAGGCAUGGGAUAGUUUAAAACGUGCUUUCCCAAAAGGGAAGAAGGGAAGUAAAGUUUUGUUCACUACCCGUGUCAAAGAAGUUGCUUCGUAUGCUGAUCCAAGGAGCUCUCCAGUGGAACCACCAUUUUUGACGAAUGAAGAGGGCUGGGAACUUCUCAGCCGGACAGCAUUUCCAGAAGAUAUUGCAAGUGAGCAAGGUUAUGCACCUGAAUUCGAGAGAAUAGGGAAGGAGAUAGUGAGAAAAUGCGGAGGACUACCUCUGGCAAUUGCUGUACUUGGAGGUUUGUUGGCUAACAAGUCACUAAAGGAAUGGGAGAUGGUGCAAAAAGACAUCAAUGCACAAUUCACCAAGUUGCAACAACGUAAUCAGUAUGCAGGGGUGGAUUGGAUAUUAGCUUUAAGCUAUCAAGAGCUGCCAUUUCGGCUAAAACCAUGCUUUCUCUAUCUUUCCCAAUUUCCGGAAGACAUGGAGAUUGACAAGAAGACAUUAAUUCGGAUGUGGAUAGCUGAAGGUUUUUUACCUCAACCAUUGAGAGGAGAAGGAGACGAGACAAUGGAAGAUGUAGGCGAACAAUUUUUGGAAGAGCUUGCAAAUAGGUGUAUGGUUCAAGUGAGUGAAAGAGACCACACUGGAAUUGGUAUCAAAAAGUGCCGCAUGCACGAUCUUAUGCGAGAUAUGUGUGUCUCAAAAGCAAGAGAAGAAAGUUUUCUUGGAGUUAUUGAGCAUCAAAAGGACAUAGCAGCUUCCACGAACAAGUCACGCAGAAUUGCCGUUCACAAGAUACGCUUUGUGCCCUCAGAAGAUUGUGGUCCACGUCUUCGUUCUCUUCUCUACCUCAACCCAAGGGAGGAGUUUCUAUUUACACUGGACAGGAAUCAAGUAAUUUUUAUUUUCAAGAAUUUGAAAUUGCUGAGAGUCUUAAAUAUUCAAAAUAUGAUUCCAAAAGAGAGUUAUAUACCUAGAGAAAUUGGUGAUCUGAUUCACUUAAGAUAUCUUGGAUUGAGGAACACCAUUACCAUAAUAUAUGUAUUCCCAAAACGCAGAUAUUUACCCAAGUUGAUCACACCAUUGCCUGCAUCCAUUGGCAAUUUGAAGAGUUUAUACACGCUUGAUUUACGACGAGGACGACAUGAGCAGAAUGAUUAUUGGAAAGUACCUGAUGUAAUGUGGAAAUUGAAAUGUUUGAGGCAACUGUUAUUGGAUCCUCAUGCAGAUGAUAAAUGGAAGUGCAGUUUGGAUACAUUAAGACAACUAGAGACUUUGAAGUGGAUAGAAGCUAAGAGUCUAAUUAGAAAGGAUGCACUACUCAAUUUGACUAAUCUGCGAAAUUUAGGAGUUGUGUUCCAGAGAAAAGAAGAAGCUGAGAUGGUUCUAAGAUCUCCCAUUUCUAGAUUGGGACGUCUUUGUUUAUUGAAGAUGGUCAUGUCAGAGCAAAGUUCAUUUGCAAGUUUGGAACCACUUUCUGGUUGUCAUCAUUUGACCAAAUUGAGGUUAAAUGGAAUCAUAUUAGAAGAUCCACAUUCCUCGCUUCACAAUUUGGAAUACCUGCCAGGAAGCCUGGCCAAGUUAAGUUUGAUCAAUUCUAAAUUAAAGAAUGAUCCGAUGGGUAUUCUAAAUAAGCUGCCUAAUCUAAGGUUUCUGGAUUUGGGCUCUAAGUCAUACGAGGGGUCUGAAAUGGUAUGCUCUGCCCAUGGAUUUCCUCAACUUGAGACUCUUAGGCUUUCAGGGUUACAUGUACUAGAAUGGAA